rnacentral:rRNA from 1 species
AUGGCGACCGGCGCACGGGUGAGUAACACGUAUCCAACCUGCCGAUAACUCGGGGAUAGCCUUUCGAAAGAAAGAUUAAUACCCGAUGGUAUAAUCAGACCGCAUGGUCUGAUUAUUAAAGAAUUUCGGUUAUCGAUGGGGAUGCGUUCCAUUAGGCAGUUGGUGAGGUAACGGCUCACCAAACCUUCGAUGGAUAGGGGUUCUGAGAGGAAGGUCCCCCACAUUGGAACUGAGACACGGUCCAA